rnacentral:rRNA from 1 species
UACGUAGGGUGCGAGCGUUGUCCGGAAUUAUUGGGCGUAAAGAGCUCGUAGGCGGUGUGUCGCGUCGGUCGUGAAAACUUGGGGCUUAACCCUGAGCUUGCGGUCGAUACGGGCAUCACUGGAGUUCGGCAGGGGAGACUGGAAUUCCUGGUGUAGCGGUGAAAUGCGCAGAUAUCAGGAGGAACACCGGUGGCGAAGGCGGCAUCCUGGACCGGUAUUGACGCUGAGGCGCGAAAGCCAGGGGAGCAAACGGG